AUGACGAUCAUGGCAUGGAAAGUAAAAAUGACUGUAUGUGUCAGUGUCAGAGAGGCCUAAGGAACUUUCACCAAGUCUCCUACAGAACAGAGAAGAGAGGCUAUGAUUUCCUUAUGUUCCUGAGAAAGGCAAAGCAUUUGUCUGAAAGCGAAAGCCAGGAGAUCAAAGUAACUUCCCUGUCACAAGAGGAAACAUGAGAGCAGAAUUCAGCAUGAGUUUUGUAUAUGGCAAUCAAGUAUAUUCAUGGCUAUCUAAAUGAAUGUCCACGUAGAAGUCAGGCAGCACAAAGAACAAGAUAUAACAGCUGAACGUCCCACUGAAAACCAGCUAAGUGUUGAUCACAACCAUCAAAAAAAUUCUUGUCUUUACUUACAGUGUGACUGUAACUUUCAGAAAGUAACACAUCAGUAAAAUGCAGCUACUUUGACUCGAAGAUAACAGCCAUACUGUUCACAGUGAGGUCCACAGACCAGCAGCUUCAUCAUUGUCAUGUGAGGAUGUGUCAGAAAUGCAGAACCUCAGGCUCCACCUCAGACCUACUAUGGAAUCAGAAUCUUCGCCUUAUUAAGAUCCCCAGGGGACUGGGUGCAGUGGCUCAUACCUGUAAUCCCAGCACUUUGGGAAGCCAAGGCAAGUGGAUCACUUCAGGUCAGGAGUUCGAGAUGAGCCUGGCCAACAUGGUGAAACCCCAUCUCUACUAAAAAUACAAAAAUUACCUGGGCGUGGUGGUGCACACCUGUAAUCUCAGGUACUCAGGAGGCUGAGGCAGGAGAAUUGCUUGAAUCUAAGAAGCAGAGGUUGCAGUGAGCUGAGAUCAUGCCAUCGCACUCCAGACUACAGCCUGGGUGACAGAGUGAGAUCUUGUCUCAAAACAACAGCAACAACAAAAAGAUGACCCCCAGGCAAUUCGGCAAUUCAUAUGCACAUGCAAGUUUGAGAACAACGGGAAAUGACGAGAAAAUAAAGAACUGAGAACAAUCUCUUAUACCACCCCACAAAGAUUGUUUCUAUUUUUCUAACCUUGAUGUCUUCUGUAUUUCAGUUUAUUUUGUCUUCUACUCCCUCCAACUGGGUCUGGUGACAGACAGACCUGUAGGCCCAGGCCUGUGCUAGUUCCGAGCUAGGUAUGACAGGGACAGGAGUUAUAUCAGCACCCUCAGUCCUAUCCUUCUGGGAUUCAGUUUUGUCGAUUACGAAGGCCUGGUGCAUCAGCAAUAAGUUCUGUGACUAUGUGUCAGCAACUUAUUAAUAACAGCCUUGGGUGAGCAAGGCACGUUUGGCAGAGUUAUUUCAUCAUCCCUCCUAUCAGUUUCAAUUUUCUCUGCUAUAUGCCAGUACUUCCCACCCAGACUUGACUUCCUCCAUAGACAGCUUGUGGGCAUCAUUUUGUGCCCCUCAAAUGUCACACUCUGCUACCUGCCCUGUUCCUGAUUAUUAGGAUUAUCAACUACACGAUAAUUUCUGAUGCUGAAUCUGUAUAUCUCUGUUUUCACCUCCCUCCAACCCUACAUUUCUUCAGAGAUGGAAAUCUAGAAUUUCUUGCAGCUUGGCAGCAUAGGAGCCAAUGGGGUAGCAAUGUGAAAGUCAAGAAGUACACCUCAUCUCCAGGACAGCAAGAGUGAUCCCUGCCUGACAAUGAUGCUGGGAGAAGAUGUGCCGGUGCUCAAGAAGGCACCGUCCCUCAUGCACAGCCACAUGCCACAGGUCACACAACAUUGGCAGGAGUCCAGACCACUUUUUGUCUAGUAGUAGCUUUACUGGGACCUACUAUAACUUGGGCAAGUUAAGUCUUCUUCCUGGAUUUUGUUUCUCUUUAAACGAGAGAAUAAGAGUAGAUGGGCUACAAAGUUCCCAAAGAACUUAGCUAAGAUUCUGGCAUAUAGUUACAGUAUGGAUUAAGUAGAAGGUGAUGAGGCAGAGAGUGAACAUGACAUUGGUGUGUGGCCAGAUUUACACUUGGACCUUCUUUAGCGGGGGCACCCGUUGAAAAUCAGCCUGCAAAUCCUCAAUAAAUCCAGCACUGCCAGUUUUUUUCAUUCUGAAACAGACUGCAUUUGGUGAGGCAGGAGGGUGAGCAUUAUAUAAAAGAGAUAUUUUGCAUUUUAGGAGCAAUGAUAUAUACAAAAUAAGUACUAUAGCAUUAAAAUACAAUCACACUCAUUGUUGAAAGAUGUUUACAUUAUGAGAAAAAAAUCCAUGCUCCUGACAUCAACUGAAGGGGCAUCUCUCACAAGACCUGGGGAGUGGAAGUAUGGAAUCUAAUGUUACUACAGCAAGUGAAUCCACCUUGCAUAGAGUGAAAUAUUUGUAAAACUCCUAAUUAGAACAGAUUUUUAAAAAAUUA
rnacentral:lncRNA from 1 species